GAGUCCGGAAGGAGAAGAACUCGGGAGAGGGGCCGCGCGGGGAGAAAGACCCGGAGUCCGGAAGGAGAACAACUCGGGAGAGGGGCCGCGCGGGGAGAAAGACCCGGAGUCCGGAAGGAGAAGAACUCGGGAGAGGGGCCGCGCGGGGAGAAAGACCCGGAGUCCGGAAGGAGAAGAACUCGGGAGAGGGGCCGCGCGGGGAGAAAGACCCGGAGUCCGGAAGGAGAACAACUCGGGAGAGGGGCCGCGCGGGGAGAAAGACCCGGAGUCCGGAAGGAGAACAACUCGGGAGAGGGGCCGCGCGGGGAGAAAGACCCGGAGUCCGGAGCGAGAAGAGCUCGGGAGAGGGGCCGCGCGGGGAGAA
rnacentral:lncRNA from 1 species